CCUCUUCCCACUCAUGGGACUCGACCUGAUCCCAUGCCCUCUCUGGCUCCCAAAAAUGGCCGAGCCCAGUGUUGGGUUUCACAUUCCCCUCCUGAAGCAAAGGAGCAGGGCAGGCAUCACAGCCG